rnacentral:rRNA from 1 species
UACGUAGGGGGCAAGCGUUGUCCGGAUUUAUUGGGCGUAAGAGCGUGUAGGCGGCUUGGUAGGUCCGCUGUGAAAACUCGAGGCUCAACCUCGAGAUGUCGGCGGAAACCACUUGGCUAGAGUCCGGAAGAGGAGAGUGGAAUUCCCGGUGUAGCGGUGAAAUGCGCAGAUAUCGGGAAGAACACCUAUGGCGAAGGCAGCUCUCUGGGACGGUACUGACGCUGAGACGCGAAAGCGUGGGGAGCGAACAGG